rnacentral:rRNA from 1 species
GACGAACGCUGGCGGCGUGCUUAACACAUGCAAGUCGAACGAAAUCUUCGGAUUUAGUGGCAAACGGGUGAGUAACGCGUAGAUAACCUGCCUUUAAGUUGGGGACAACACCUCGAAAGGGGUGCUAAUACCGAAUGUUGUUAAGAGUUCGCAUGAACUUUUAACUAAAGAUUUAUCGCUUAAAGAGGGGUCUGCGUCCGAUUAGGUAGUUGGUGUAGUAACGGUGCACCAAGCCUGCGAUCGGUAACCGGUCUGAGAGGAUGAACGGUCACAUUGGGACUGAGACACGGCCCAGACUCC